GACGAACGCUGGCGGCGUGCUUAACACAUGCAAGUCGAACGGAAAGGCCUGCUUUCCCUUGUGGAUUGCGGGUACUCGAGUGGCGAACGGGUGAGUAACACGUGAGUGAUCUGCCCCCAACUUGGGUAUAAGCCUGGGAAACUGGGUCUAAUUCCCGAUAGGACUGCAGGGUGGUGCCUGUGGUGGAAAACGAUUUUCUAGUGGUUGGGGAUGAGCUCGCGGCCUAUCAGCUUGUUGGUGGGGUAAUGGCCUACCAAGGCGGCGACGGGUAGCCGGCCUGAGAGGGUGGACGGCCACAUUGGGACUGAGAUACGGCCCAGACUCCUACGGGAGGCAGCAGUGGGGAAUAUUGCACAAUGGGCGGAAGCCUGAUGCAGCGACGCCGCGUGGGGGAUGACGGCCUUCGGGUUGGAAACUCCUUUCGACCGCGAGGAAGCCACCUGGUUGGAAGGGUGGUGACGGUAGUGGUAGAAGAAGCACCGGCGAACUACGU
rnacentral:rRNA from 1 species